rnacentral:rRNA from 1 species
UACGGGAGGCAGCAGUGGGGAAUAUUGCACAAUGGGCGCAAGCCUGAUGCAGCCAUGCCGCGUGUAUGAAGAAGGCCUUCGGGUUGUAAAGUACUUUCAGCAGUGAGGAAGGUGGAUAUGUUAAUAGCAUAUUCAUUUGACGUUAGCUGCAGAAGAAGCACCGGCUAACUCCGUGCCAGCAGACCGCGGUAAUACGGAGGGUGCGAGCGUUAAUCGGAAUUACUGGGCGUAAAGCGCAUGCAGGUGGUUUGUUAAGUCAGAUGUGAAAGCCCGGGGCUCAACCUCGGAAUUGCAUUUGAAACUGGCAAACUAGAGUACUGUAGAGGGGGUAGAAUUUCAGGUGUAGCGGUGAAAUGCGUAGAGAUCUGAAGGAAUACCGGUGGCGAAGGCGGCCCCCUGGACAGAUACUGACACUCAGAUGCGAAAGCGUGGGGAGCAAACAGGAUUAGAUACCCUGGUAG